AUUGAACGCUGGCGGCAGGCCUAACACAUGCAAGUCGAACGAGUGGCGCACGGGUGAGUAAUGUCUGGGAAACUGCCCGAUGGAGGGGGAUAACUACUGGAAACGGUAGCUAAUACCGCAUACCAUCGGAUGUACCCAGAUGGGAUUAGCUAGUAGGUGGGGUAACGGCUCACCUAGGCGACGAUCCCUAGCUGGUCUGAGAGGAUGACCAGCCACACUGGAACUGAGACACGGUCCAGACGCCUAAGGGAGGCAGCAGUGGGGAAUAUUGCACAAUGGGCGCAAGCCUGAGACAGCCAUGCGGCGUGUAUGAAGAAGGCCUUCGGGUUGUAAAGUACUUUCAGCGAGGAGGCGUUACUCGCAGAAGAAGCACCGGCUAACUCCGUGCCAGCAGCCGCGGUAAUAC
rnacentral:rRNA from 1 species